GGGCGAUGAUGACAGAAAUCGUUUCUCGAUUCUGAUUUUGGUUAUAUUUAUUGACCAUUAUAUUGCUAUAUGAUGACACUGUUUGUGCGUGUCUGAGCCUU